GCGAGGGAAAUCCCGCCUUUUUCUUUUCACCGAUUAUUAUAAAAGCCUCAUUUCUUUCUCCGGCCUCGUCUCAGAUCAACUGCCUUAACCCCUCUCUCUCUCUCUCUCUCUCUCUCUCUCUCUCUCUCUCUGUUCAUAUCUCAAUUUCUUCCGUUCUCUGCUCUUCGCCGGAGAUCACCAGGUUCGCUUUAUCUAGUUUUUAUUGCAUUUAUACAAAAGCUGGAAGAGUUUGUAAAUGUCCUUGUGCGGUCUAUAUUGCAUUGCCACGCAGACUGUGUCAAAAUAUAACAAGAUGUGCAAAUACAAGAUUCAAAAGAACGUAUAUGGUUUGUUAAAGUAAUCCUCUUGAUGGUAAAUAGCAUCAAAUUUUCUGCUGCUAGACAGAACUUGACAAGUUAGAUUCACAAUGAUAGCACUCUGCUUCUCCUGGGCCAAUUGUUUUUGGGUGGUUGGUUACUGGAUCAUUCGGACUUUUAGCUUCUUCCAUACUUUUUUUUUUUGCUCUCGCAGCAGCUUUAACCCAAGUUAGUGAAAAUGGUCCCCUUCACAACACGUUAUCAUCCUUGGCUACCCUAUUCCACAUAAGAGUGGUAGAAAUAACUAAAUCUGCUGGAUUAGGUUAAUCUCUUGACCAAAAAAAAAUUCUGCUGGGUGAAUAUCAGCUUCUGGUCAAAGAUAUUCCAACUCAAAUCUCAUCCCAUGGGAAAGUGGUGGUGCUUUCGAUCUCCUUUCAGUUAGCAUAAAAUACUUGGUUGCAAUAGCCAGAAGACACUUGCAAUAGCAUUUAUUUUCUUUUCCCUUUAGCUUAUGCUGUAUUAGACUGUGUUUCUUAUGAAUGCUUAGUCUUUUUGGUCAGGUUUGUUUUUUCUUUUCCCAUUAGCUUAUGCUGUAUUAGACUGUGUUUCUUAUGAAUGCUGUUUGUCUUUUUGGUCAGAUUUGUUAAAGUAAUCCUCUUGAUGGUAAAUAGCAUCAAAUUUUCUACUGCUAGACAGAAAUCAGACAAGUUAGAUUCACAAUGAUAGCACUCUGCUUUUCAAUUUUGAGGUCUUUGUCCUACUCUGUUUCUCCUGGGCCAUUCGUUUUUGGGUGGUUGGUUACUGGAUCCUUCGGACUUCUUGCUAUUAUAUAUGCAUUUCUGACAUGGCAGAGAAGAACAUCUUUAAAUUGGGUUAAAGCUGCUGCUAGAGCGAAAAAGAAAGUUUGGAAGAAGCUAAAAGUACCACUUUCCCAUCAUAUAUGGAUGGAAGAUUUUGCUUAUGGUGAACAGCCAUCCACAUGCUGUGUUUGCUUGUUUUCACUUGUGUCUCCUCAAAGCGUUAGUACAAAAGCAGCUUCACGCACUCCAGUUCACCGUUGCUCUGUUUGUGGUGUAGCAGCUCAUUUCUUCUGUUCUGACUUUGCGGCAAAAGACUGCAAAUGUGUGGCCCAAGCUGGUUCUAGUCAUGUGCGACACCAAUGGUCAGAAAGAUGGGUUAACAUGGAUGACAAUGCUGACAUGUCUGCCUUUUGCUUUUAUUGUGAUGAGCCCUGUGGAAUUCCUUUUAUAGAUGCUUCUCCCGCAUGGCAUUGUUUAUGGUGUCAGCGCCUUAUACAUGUUAAGUGUCACACAAAAUGUCAAAGGAAUC